UUUCGGGGUUCCUGAGUGUCACGCAGAUCUCUGUGGGACCUCCAAAUGAAAGAACCUAGUGGGAAAACCCUCACUCAAUUCCCGAUUCGGCGGGCAUCUGAGAAUCACGAACAGACGA
rnacentral:pre_miRNA from 7 species